AGAGUUUGAUCCUGGCUCAGAUUGAACGCUGGCGGCAUGCUUUACACAUGCAAGUCGAACGGCAGCACGGGUGCUUGCACCUGGUGGCGAGUGGCGAACGGGUGAGUAAUGCACCGGAACGUACCCAGUAAUGGGGGAUAACACAUCGAAAGAUGUGCUAAUACCGCAUACGCCCUGAGGGGGAAAGCGGGGGAUCGUAAGACCUCGCGUUAUUGGAGCGGCCGAUGCCGGAUUAGCUAGUUGGUGAGGUAAGAGCUCACCAAGGCGACGAUCCGUAGCUGGUCUGAGAGGACGACCAGCCACACUGGGACUGAGACACGGCCCAGACUCCUACGGGAGGCAGCAGUGGGGAAUUUUGGACAAUGGGCGCAAGCCUGAUCCAGCCAUGCCGCGUGAGUGAAGAAGGCCUUCGGGUUGUAAAGCUCUUUCGCAAGGAAAGAAAACUUAUCUACUA
rnacentral:rRNA from 1 species